rnacentral:rRNA from 1 species
GACGAACGCUGGCGGCGUGCCUAAUACAUGCAAGUCGAGCGGAUUUAUCCUUCGGGAUAAGUUAGCGGCGGACGGGUGAGUAACACGUAGGUAACCUGCCUAUAAGAUCGGGAUAACUAUCGGAAACGAUAGCUAACACCGGAUAAUUGGUUUCUCCGCAUGGAGAGACUAUGAAACACGGAGCAAUCUGUGGCUUGUAGAUGGGCCUGCGGCGCAUUAGCUAGUUGGUAGGGUAAUGGCCUACCAAGGCGACGAUGCGUAGCCGACCUGAGAGGGUGACCGGCCACACUGGGACUGAGACACGGCCCAGACUCCUACGGGUGCUG